ACGAACGCUGGCGGCGUGCUUAACACAUGCAAGUCGAACGGGCCCGCCCUCUUUUUUGGGGGUGGGUUGAGUGGCGAACGGGUGAGUAUCACGUGAGUAACCUGCCCCCUGCUCCUGGAUAACUGCUCGAAAGGGCGGCUAAUACGGGGUGUGCCGGCUGGUCCGCCUGGGCCUGGUCGGGAUAGUUUCAUCUUCGGGUGUUUCGGGGGGGGACGGGCCCGCGGCCUGUCAGCUUGUUGGUGGGGUGAUGGCCCACCAAGGCGGUGACGGGUAGCCGGCCUGAGAGGGUGGGCGGCCAGACUGGGACUGAGACACGGCCCAGACUCCUGCGGGAGGCAGCAGUGGGGGGUAUUGCACAAUGGGCGGAAGCCUGAUGCAGCGACGUCGCGUGAGGGAUGGAGGCCGUCGGGUUGUGAACCUCUUUCUCCGGUGGUGAAGGCCCUGUCCGUUGCGGCGGGGUUGACGGUAGCCGGGUAUGAAGCGCCGGCUAACUACGUG
rnacentral:rRNA from 1 species